rfam:Schistosoma mattheei strain Denwood, Zambia genome assembly, scaffold: SMTD_scaffold0012128
GGCCAGUUGACGAGUCCCAAUUAGGACGAAACGCGCGUCUUGGAU